GAUGAACGCUGGCGGCGUGCCUAAUACAUGCAAGUCGAGCGAACGGACGAGAAGCUUGCUUCUCUGAUGUUAGCGGCGGACGGGUGAGUAACACGUGGAUAACCUACCUAUAAGACUGGGAUAACUUCGGGAAACCGGAGCUAAUACCGGAGAAUAUUUUGAACCGCAGGGUUCAAAAGUGAAAGACGGUCUUGCUGUCACUAAUAGAGGGAUCCGCGCUGCAUUAGCUAGUUGGUAAGGUAACGGCUUACCAAGGCAACGAUGCAUAGCCGACCUGAGAGGGUGAUCGGCCACACUGGAACUUAGCCACGGUCCAGACUCCUGCGGGAGGCAGCAGUAGGGAAUCUUCCGCAAUGGGCGAAAGCCUGACGCAGCAACGCCGCGUGAGUGAUGAAGGUCUUCGGAUCGUAAAACUCUGUUAUUAGGGAAGAACAUAUGUGUAAGUAACUGUGCACAUCUUGACGGUACCUAAUCAGAAAGCCCCGGCUAACUACGUG
rnacentral:rRNA from 1 species